rnacentral:rRNA from 1 species
GACGAACGCUGGCGGCGUGCUUAACACAUGCAAGUCGAGCGGAAAGGCCCUGCUUUUGUGGGGUGCUCGAGUGGCGAACGGGUGAGUAACACGUGAGUAACCUGCCCUUGACUUUGGGAUAACUUCAGGAAACUGGGGCUAAUACCGGAUAGGAGCUCCUGCUGCAUGGUGGGGGUUGGAAAGUUUCGGCGGUUGGGGAUGGACUCGCGGCUUAUCAGCUUGUUGGUGGGGUAGUGGCUUACCAAGGAUUUGACGGGUAGCCGGCCUGAGAGGGUGACCGGCCACAUUGGGACUGAGAUACGGCCCAGACUCCUACGGGAGGCAGCAGUGGGGAAUAUUGCACAAUGGGCGGAAGCCUGAUGCAGCAACGCCGCGUGCGGGAUGACGGCCUUCGGGUUGUAAACCGCUUUCGCCUGUGACGAAGCGUGAGUGACGGUAAUGGGUAAAGAAGCACCGGCUAACUACGUG